rnacentral:rRNA from 1 species
AUGGACGGAGCUCUUCACAGUUCAUUGUCCGGAGGUAAUGUUCUUGCACCUGCAAUGUACAGAUUAUCAACACUCUUGAUCAUACAAAGAAAUAGCUCCCCGUACUUCAUGAUCAUGAGACCACAAAUGUGGGAGAGGCAGGUGGAAAUACAAAUGAUUACUACAUCAAAAGGACAUGUAGGUUUCAGUGUCAGGAAAUCUUGGCAUGAUAAAUCCUCGACGACUAAUGUUAUUCGAACAAAGAAAUUUGUAUGCUCAAAGGCAGGUUACAAGGACAAGAGCAAGGAACAAUGUCAGAGAAAGAGAGCAGAUACAAGAGUUGGUUGUCUGGCAGAGAUGACCAUCAAAAUAAGUGCUAACGGAAAAUAUGUUAACAAGGAGAAGUGGGCUUUGGUUUAUGGUCGACAAACCUUCUGUGCAGAUAUGAAAUCCACACAAAGAAGCGAGAGUAUGAAUGCACUAUUGAAACGAUACCUGCAUGUACGCCUUGAUUUAUUAGAUUUCUUCAAGCCCUAUGAGAGGGCCGUGGAUGAUAGAAGGUAUGCUGAAGUGGAAAGUGAUUUCUAUGCGAGUCAAACAUCACCGAAGGUGCCAUAUGUGCAGAUGCUGAUACAAACUUUGAAAGUAUAUACACCUGCUAUGUUUGAGAUAUUUAAAGGAGAAUUUGACAUGGUAAUGGGAUAUUGUGUGUACGAGAGUGGUCGUACUGGCUCUAUUUCUGAAUUCAAGGUUACCCAUUCAGCUAGCCAAAAUCGUCAUACUGUGAAAUUUGAUCCCAAUGGAUCAAAAGUUUCAUGCUCAUGCAAAAAGUUUGAAUUUGUUGGGGUAUUGUGUCGUCAUGCAUUGAAGGUGUUGGACCACAACAAUAUCAAGGAGUUGGCACCAGAAUAUAUCUUGAAAAGAUGGACAAGGCGAGCAAAAUCAGGGCCAUCAGAAGCAAUUCAAAAGUGCUCUGAUGAUGAAGAUGCAAGAGUUGUGCUAGCUAGACAGUAUGGAUCACUAUGCCGCACUUACAAUAACAUUUUGAGCAAAGCAGCAGCAAACAAAGAGGCAUAUGCACUAUUGCAAAGUAUGUCAAUUGAACUAAUGGAAAAGGUGGACCAAAUUUUACAUGGAAAUCAAUCAAAAGAUGAAUCACUAAAUCAUGAACAAGCAAAGAAGCAACCAGUUGGAUGCAACAUUGAGAAUGUAGUCCAAGCACAGGGAAUAAAGAGAAAAGAACCAGGAAGUAGCAACAAGAGGAUUAAAUCUGGACUGGAAUUGAACAAUAAGAAUAAACGUAAUACGAAAGGUCAAGGAGCAACAUGCAAGAACAAGAGUGGUGAUUGUGCUUCUGCAUCAUCUGAAGCAAAUCCUAGCUUCAACGUACCAAAUAAGAAUAAACGUAAUACGAAAGGUCAAGGAGCAACAUGCAAGAAUAAGAGUGGUGAUUGUGCUUCUGCAUCAUCUGCAGCAAAUCCUAGCUUCAACAUAUCAAAUGAGAACUAUAAUUUGCAAGUAAUGCAGCAUGCUAUGCAUCCACUACCAAAUGUUGCUAAUCACAAUUUGCAAACUUCUCUGGUGUCAUCAUACUCGGGAUGGCCAACGUCUCAAAAUCACCAGCCACCAACUAGCACUCAACCAAGUCAGUUCCCAAAUGUUCUCGGACUCGGGAUGGCCAACAUCUAA